GAUGAACGCUGGCGGCGUGCCUAAUACAUGCAAGUCGAGCGAACAGACGAGAGUGCUUGCACUCUCUGACGUUAGCGGCGGACGGGUGAGUAACACGUGGGUAACCUACCUAUAAGACUGGGAUAACUUCGGGAAACCGGAGCUAAUACCGGAUAAUAUUUAGCUUCGCAUGAAGCAAUAGUGAAAGACGGUUCUGCUGUCACUUAUAGAUGGACCCGCGGUGUAUUAGCUAGUUGGUGAGGUAACGGCUCACCAAGGCAACGAUGCAUAGCCGACCUGAGAGGGUGAUCGGCCACACUGGGACUAAGACACGGCGCAGACUCCUACGGGAGGCGGCAGUAGGGAAGCUUCCGCAAUGAACGAAAGUCUGACGGAGCAAUGCCGCGUGAGUGAAGAAGGUUUUCGGAUCGUAAAACUCUGUUGUAAGGGAAGAACAAGUACGUUAGUAACUGAACGUACCUUGACGGUACCUUACCAGAAAGCCACGGCUAACUACGUG
rnacentral:rRNA from 1 species